rnacentral:rRNA from 1 species
AUGUAUAUGCCUACAACAUUAAUUCAUUGGAUCCCAUCAGAAAUCCACAUUUAAGCACACUUGGGAUAGAGUAGUACUAGGAUGGGUGACCUCCUGAGAAGUUCUAGUGUUUUACAUG